GAUGAACGCUGGCGGCGUGCUUAACACAUGCAAGUCGAACGGAAAGGCUCCUGCUUGCCGGGGUACUCGAGUGGCGAACGGGUGAGUAACACGUGGGUGAUCUGCCCUGCACUUCGGGAUAAGCCUGGGAAACUGGGUCUAAUACCGGAUAGGACCACAUUUUGGAUGGUGUGGUGGAAAGUUUUUCGGUGUGGGAUGAGCUCGCGGCCUAUCAGCUUGUUGGUGGGGUAAUGGCCUACCAAGGCGUCGACGGGUAGCCGGCCUGAGAGGGUGUACGGCCACAUGGGGACUGAGAUACGGCCCAGACUCCUACGGGAGGCAGCAGUGGGGAAUAUUGCACAAUGGGCGCAAGCCUGAUGCAGCGACGCCGCGUGGGGGAUGACGGCCUUCGGGUUGUAAACUCCUUUCGCUAGGGACGAAGCGCAAGUGACGGUACCUGGAGAAGAAGCACCGGCUAACUACGUG
rnacentral:rRNA from 1 species